GUGAAUCAUCGAAUUUUUGAACGCAAAUUGCACUCUCUGGUAUUCGGGAGAGUAUGCCUGUUUGAGCGUCAGAAAAAAUAAAAAUCUGUGUGUUUGCUGCCUUUCGUGGUGACGCACCGGGUUUGGGUCGUCUUGCCGUCGGUUAAGUGGCCUUAAAUUUUGCAUGAUUUUUUUCGAACGUAUUUAAAUGUUUUUAUGUACGUUUGCGUUAUCGAUU
rnacentral:misc_RNA from 1 species